GACGAACGCUGGCGGCGUGCUUAACACAUGCAAGUCGAACGGAAAGGCCUGCUUUCCCUUGUGUAUUGCGGGUGCUCGCGUGGCGAACGGGUGAGUAACACGUGAGUUAUCUGCCCCGAACUUGUGUAUAAGCCUGGGAAACUGGGUCUAAUUCCCGCUAGGUCUGCAGGGUGGUGCCUGUGGUUGAAGACGAUGUUCUAGUGGUUGGGGAUGAGCUGGCGGCCUAUCAGCUUGUUGGUGGGGUAAUGGCUUACCAAGGCGGGGACGGGUAGGCGGCCAGGGAGGGUGGGCGGGCACGGGUGAACUGAGAUACGGGCCAGGAUCCUCCGGCAGGCAGCAGUGGGGAGUAAUGCGCGAUGGGUGGAGGACUGAGGGAGGGACGCUGAGUGAGCGAUGACGGCCGCCGGGUUGUAACCUCCGGGCGACAGCGAGGAAGCGGCCUGGUUGGAAGGGUGGUGACGGUAGUGGUAGAAGAAGCACCGGCUAACUACGUG
rnacentral:rRNA from 1 species